UAAACAGGCGAUACAUUAAUUAUUACAGGAAUGUAGAUGAUGUAAAGAUAGAAAUCUGAUCCUUUAAAUUGAAAGUGACUGAUAGAGCACAGUCAUAAUUGUGAACUGGUCUUUACUGUUAGUCUAUGCUGUAAUCACCACUUUUUUAAACAGUGUCAUCUUUACAAAACUUCAAAAACCUUAAGAUCUUGAACCUGAAUUCACAGUACUUUGCAAAACAUGAAGAGGCUGGCUGUUUUGGUAAGAAAUGUUCCCGUUUCUGUUUUACUGAACAGGCGAUCUAAAACACAAAUAUUUGUUUGUCCAUCUUUCAAAGCUUGUGCCCUAGGAUCUCUGGCUUGUUUAGAGGAGCUGAAUCUUCCUUCAGGAAAUGGUGUAAAAUCAACCAUCUCCAUUGUAAUUGAACAGUUUCAGCAUCUCAAACACCUGAGAGUUCUCUCAGCCACUCUAGUACUUGUGGAUAGCAACCUGUAUGAGUUAGCAAAAGCUGCCAAAGAAGGACAUCUUCAAGCAAUUCAGAGACUGGAUCUCACUGCCAACCAUGACAUAACAGACUCCGGCUGGAGAAACUUCUUUCUUACUUUGGACAGCAUGUCUGACCUAAAGGAACUGAUCCUCAGCAGGUUGUAUACUUGCAGCUUGCAGCCUGCCGACUCUCCAGUGAGGGCUUUUGUGCAUUGCAUCUCACGGCUCAGCAGUUUAAUGAAAAUUGUGAUGUUUGGCUGGCUGCUGGACAAGGAGCUUCUCACCAUGUUUAAUAAGAUGAAGGAGCAGCACCCACAGUCAAAGUGUCUCAAUAUCAUGUGGAAGUGGGUACUGCCCUUUGCACCAGUCAUACAGGACGGAACACCCUAGGUUAUGACACCAGCACUCAGUAAUCCCUUUUCUUGUCCUUGUUUUGGGUUUUUCAUACCUAAAUUUAAUCAAAAAUAAGUAAUAGCUGUUUAAGUAAACAGUUGUGAUUGUUUUUUUUUACAUUCUUAUUAUAUAACUGUGAAAUUAUAGUUUGAUUUUGACAGCUGCAUUCAGCAUGUAUUUUUAUGUUUUUUUUGAUAGCAUUGUUUUUAUUUAAAGACCAAUUUGGACUAGUCUACUAUAGAUCCAAUAAUCUAUACAUCAUCUCCAACAUUGUACUAAUAAAAGAACGUGCUCACUCACCCUAUACUCUUUAUACCCAAUGGAAUAACUUUAAUUGUUCUGUUGAUUUGUGCCUGUUGAUCGGACAGAGUUAUAACAAUGUAUGACGUUAUACAGUUGUGUUAUUCAUUUCUUUCCAGGUGUCCAAUAACCUUUCAUAUUGUUGUUUAAAGUACCAGUCUGAUAAUAACAAGUGUCACCGUUUUAAUUGAUCAAAAUAUUAAACAGUAAGUUACUGUUUGCAGUCCUUUGGCGUGCUCUUAUUGUCUUGACUCGGACGCUGCGGUUUCAUAUAGAGGUGGAUUUGUGAUGAUUGUAAACCUGUGACUUCAUAAAUAAAUACAACUAGACACAAUAUAAAGUUAUUUUAUUUAGCUUUUUUUAUAUCGCUUUGAAAUUCGUAUUUUAAUAAAGUACCCAAAAAGCCAGACAAAAAGAAUGCAAUUUCCAAUUUUAUACAAUGUAGUGCAGCAUUUCCUAUACUCGUAAUGAAAUCCAAAGUUACAGAAUCCAUUCUUACAAGCUUUUAAUA